UACAGAGACCCCGAGCAUUAUCCAGAUUUAUUGGGCGUAAAGCGUUCGUAGGCGGUUUUGUAAGUCAUCUGUUAAAUCUUCAGGCUUAACUUGGAGGCUGCGGGUGAUACUGCAAGACUAGAGUGUGGGAGAGGCAAACGGAAUGUCCGGUGUAGCGGUAAAAUGCGUUAAUAUCGGAUAGAACACCAAAGGCGAAAGCAGUUUGCUGGAACACAACUGACGCUCAGUGAACGAAAGCGUGGGUAGCGAAAGGG
rnacentral:rRNA from 1 species